UUCUAGUUAAUCUGCAGCUGUAUGAGUGACACUCCAGCUUUGGCCAGUCCCAAGAAGCACAUGGAGCAGGGGAGGCUGGAGAUGCCAAUGAAACACAGACCAUACAACCCCCAGCUUCUGGCCCUGGAGGAGAGGGUGCUCUGAGGAAUCCUGAAGGAGUGCUGGAGACAGCAUGAAGAACUUUUCUCUGCACAUUUUCUCCACGGAGUGGAAGCCAUCUGCAUCUUAGCUUCCUGCUCAGUUGUAAUUGUGUGGAGAGGAAGAAUUUGUGCUCCAUCACAACAGAGACCAAGCAGGGACCAGC
rnacentral:lncRNA from 1 species